rnacentral:lncRNA from 1 species
GAACUUUAGAGAUGUCUUUAAUUUCUUGUAAGCCCUGAAAUGAAUUAAAAAUUGUGGGUUUCGUUUUUGUUUUCUGUUUGUUGUUGUUGUUAGCCCAACAGCUCUCCACAGCAGAGUUUAUUCCACUAUACUGCUCUCCAAAUGUGUUCGGUUUGACUUACUUUUCAACCCGGGCCUCAACAAUGUAGGAACCUGAGUCCAUCAAUGGUGUCAGACUCCGCUCAGGUAGUACCCAUGCUCCCCAAAUCUUUCGUCUUCCUCUCCACCAAACACCGUCUUUCAAUGAGCAGAGGUGGUAUCCAGUGUGCACUGCCCCUUCGUCAAAUGUGUUGUCAUUUGACUCCGAAAGCUCAAUUUCCCCAGGUAAGGUGAGGCAGUCAUGUGCCUGGAAAGCCUGGAUUCUGGGGCUCAAUUCUGCCUCCUGUAAAGACGCCACUGUAAGCCCUGCCUGGUGCUGAGCCCGGCAGAGCAGGCCCUCAGACAUCAUGAACCUGUAUUCAAAUGGCCAUCUCUAAAGGUUAGUCAAUCAUGGCAUUUGUUCCAUGAACUAUGAUUUGACAUGUUCCAUCUGCAGGACAGUAACAAGAAAGUCAGUCAGUGGGAAACAAUAAUAAAAUCAGGUCUGAACUUGCAUAGGUGAAUAGUUAACUGGGGGACACCAAAGUGGGAACAUUCAGUAAGCGGCGGGGUAUAUAGUCAAGAGCUAGGUCUUGACUAGAAAUCCUAACUUGGGAAUUAUCAAUUUAGUUGAAGGCAUAGACAUAGAUAAGAAGAGAAGAGAACUGAAGUGAAACCCAGGGAACCACACACGUCUGAGGGUCAGGAGCAACGAGAGAAGCUCCUGAAGGACAGUGGGAAGUAGGAAGUAGGCAUUUACAUGUGGAAAAGUCUCGAGAUAGUUCCAUUCUGAAAAUAUAGCAAAGUAGAUCACUUGAAAGCUUUCUGUUACAAAACACUUAGAAAAGCGAUAUAAAAUAUAUCAAAACAUAUUUCUAAUGCAUAGCUGAGCCUCUAAUAAAUUAAGGAAAAUUCAAAUACAGAAAUAGGAGCCAGGUGUGGUGGCUCACACCUUUAAUCCCAGCAACUUGGGGGGCUGAGACAGGAAGAUCACUUGAGGCCAGGAGUUGGAGAUCAGCCUAGGCAACUUAGCAAGACCUCGUCUCCCAAAUAUUUUAUAAUUAGCCAGGCAUGGUGGCAUGUGCCUGUAGUUCCAACUAUUUGGGAGGCUGAGGCAGGAGGAUCACUGGAGCCAAGGAGGUCGACGCUGCAGUGAGCUUUGAUCACAUCACU